rnacentral:rRNA from 1 species
UACGUAGGGGGCAAGCGUUGUCCGGAUUUAUUGGGCGUAAAGAGCGUGUAGGCGGCCAGAUAGGUCUGGUGUGAAAACUUGAGGCUCAACCUCAAGAGGUCACUGGAAACCAUUUGGCUAGAGUCCGGAAGAGGAGAGUGGAAUUCCUGGUGUAGCGGUGAAAUGCGCAGAUAUCAGGAGGAACACCGGUGGCGAAGGCGGGUCUCUGGGCAACAACUGACGCUGAGGAGCGAAAGCGUGGGGAGCGAACAGG